rnacentral:rRNA from 1 species
GCUGACAUAACAACUAAAUCACAAAUAUACUUUACUGAAAAAAACAAACCAUUUGACCAACCCAGUAGAUGCGAUCGAACAGCCACACGUCACAACAAAGUACCGUAAGGGAACCNCCAUCAAGCAAUAAACAGCAAAGACUAACCCUUGUACCUUUCGCAUCAUGAUUCAGCAAGAACAUAAGGACAAGAAGAAUCACAGCCCUUAACCCCGAAACCGAACGAGCUAUUUUUAAGCAGUCUAACGGACGCACCCUUCUAUGUAGCAAAUAGUGGGAAGACUUGAAAAUAGAGGUGAAAG